rnacentral:lncRNA from 10 species
UCAAAGAGUGAGAUUGAUUUCUUUUUAUUGCCAUCUUAACAAAAAUACUUCGGAAGGCAAUCUUUGAUUCCAGCAUCGGAGGCCGGGCAAUUCCAGGCAAUAAUUAAGCCAUCAGGCUGUUGGACAGGAGAGUGUUCAGUUUGAGGGAAGCAGGAACCCCCAAAGAACCACAGAAUGGGGAGAUGGAGCCAAAGGCACAGGGACAUUGCAGUCACCUUCCAUUCUCCCUACGUGGGACAAAGCUUGGCUUGGGUUUACAAGCAGCGCUCCAGGAACAGCCUUGGAAGGCACUAGAUGCUGCAAUCCUCCCAGCUCCCACUAUGGCUGGGGGCAGGAUGGGAGGGUGGGGGGUUGUUGGGUGGAGGGGUUGGCUGGGGGACUUCUGCUGGGGUCAGCUUCAGGUCAGGGAAAAAAAAGGACACAGAGCUGAGGUGCACCCAGGUCAGAGCUAAGCUUGUAUCUGCCACCUGCCACUUCCCUCUCUAAUGCUAAGAACCCAGUUUUCUCCCCACACUCCAACAUGAAACAUGAAGCUAGAGGUGUAUGUAGCUAGUGCGUAGGCAGCCCGAGCAAGCAGAGGCAAGGCAUGCUGGAACCUGGAAUGGGACAUGAGCCCCACUGGGCUCUGGAUUCUUUUAGAAGCCAGGGAAGAGGUUGCCCUCCACUCCUGAGAUCUGGCCCUGCCUCUCCAAGCCACUGGCUAUGAGCCAUAGAGCCAGGGCAGGGUGGGAGAAUCACCUGCUAAAUGCUAGGUGCCUCCCACCUCACCCAGGACAGCUGAGGCAGAAGCAGAGAUACAGGGGGCAGAGGCCUGGCAAGGGGCAGAGGCCUGGCAAGGGGCAAGACCUGCCCCCUGCCUCCUCUUCCCACUACUCCAGAUCUGGCCUCUGACAGGGGAGCUGGGAAAACCGAUACCCUGGCUUCCAGUCCUGGCCCUCUCACUAACUGGCUGUGUCAUUUGUCUUAUACAGAUGAUGAUGAUAAAAAUGAUCAUAAUAAUACCUGACUUGGCUGUCUUGAGCUGACUGUCCUGAGCCCCCACUGAGACCACCCAGACUCUGCAAGGGCGAGGAAAAGCAUAAAGUGCUCUCUAUGAAUGCAAGACAGUCUUUUCCUUCCUCCGACGUCAUCCCAUUCUUCUCCCCACUCCAAAAAAGGCAAGCACAGCAGCUGAGCACGCGCACAAGGGCAAGCGGAGGGCCAAGGCGGGCACCACCCCCGGGCAAGGGAGGGUAGACCCCUCCCUGAAGGACCGACUUGACCUGCCCAUCAGGCCUCACCCCCUUCAAAAGAAGCAGCAUCAGGGCCUGGGAGGUCACAUGUGGGAGGCCGAUGCAGCAGCCCCAAGGUUGGAAAGUGGGACUCCAUUCGGAUGCUCCCCACUGUUGCGCCCCCCUCCCUGCAAGGCCUGCCACCACGGGACACAGACCAAGAGGAGAACGAUCUCCAGGCCAAGCAAGCAUCAAGCAGGUGGCUUUUCUUGCAUCUUCAGCAUCCGCCAAAGAUGAGGGUGCGGGUCUGAAUACAUGCUCUGUUAGACCACAGGGCAGCGACCUGCGCUCGGUGAGGAGGUAACAGCGCCCCCAGUGUCCUACAAGGGUCAUCGAUCCUGUUCCUGGACACGAAAGACUGGCCCCUGUUGUGAGGCCAGACAUCCCUCCUCCAUGACUCUUCCUCCUAGUGCAGACUAGCUGGGUUAGAAAUUGUGCUUUCUCUUCCGAGACCUGGUAGUCCGUGUGGGGGCUGAUGCUGGGGAAGCUGGUCCCCGGCGAGGCAAAGUUUCAGCGCCAGCCUCGGCGCGGCGGCGGCGGCGACUCGCUGCUGCUCUCCUCCCCUGCUUUGACCACCAUCUUAUUAGUACAGGAA